ACAUGCAAGUCGUGCGGCAGCAUAGAGAGCUUGAUCUCUGAUGGCGAGUGGCGAACGGGUUAGUAACAUAUCGGAACGUACCUAGUAAUGGGGAAUAACUAAUCGAAAGAUUAGCUAAUACCGCAUACGACCUACGGGUGAAAGCAGGGGAUCUUCGGACCUUGCGUUAUUAGAGCGGCCGAUAUCUGAUUAGCUAGUUGGUAGGGUAAAGGCCUACCAAGCCGACGAUCAGUAGCUGGUCUGAGAGGACGAUCAGCCACACUGGAACUGAGACACGGUCCAGACUCCUACGGGAGGCGGCAGUGGGGAAUUUUGGACAAUGGGGGCAACCCUGAUCCAGCCAUUCCGCGUGAGUGAAGAAGGCCUUCGGGUUGUAAAGCUCUUUCGCAAGGGAAGAAAUCUUGCCGUUUAAUAAACGGCAAGGAUGACGGUACCUUGACAAGAAGCACCGGCUAACUACGUGCCAGCAGCCGCGGUAAUACGUAGGGUGCGAGCGUUAAUCGGAAUUACUGGGCGUAAAGCGUGCGCAGGCUGUUUUAUAAGUCAGAUGUGAAAUCCCCGAGCUCAACUUGGGAACUGCGUUUGAUACUGUAAGACUAGAGUGUGUCAGAGGGGGGUAGAAUUCCACGUGUACCAGUGAAAUGCGUAAAUAUGUGGAGGAAUACCAAUGGCGAAGGCAGCCCCCUGGGGAUAACACUGACGCUCAUGCACGA
rnacentral:rRNA from 1 species